UCCGAGUUGACCCCGGCAGUCUCCUACGAGUCCCCGGCAUUAUCCGCUGGCAACAUAGGACAAGGGUUGCGCUCGUUGCGGGACUUAACCCAACAUCUCACGACACGAGCUGACGACAGCCACGCACCACCUAUCACAGGCCCCGAAGGACACCGUAUCUCUACGGCUUUUCCCUACAUGUCAAACCCAGGUAAGGUUCUUCGCGUUGCCUCGAAUUAAACCACAUGCUCCGCUGCUUGUGCGGGCCCCCGUCAAUUCCUUUGAGUUUUAGUCUUGCGACCGUACUUCCCAGGCGGAGAACUUAAUGCGUUAGCUACGGCACCGCGGGGGUCAACACCCACGACACCUAGUUCCCAUCGUUUACGGCGUGGACUAC
rnacentral:misc_RNA from 1 species